GCCGCUGUGGUGGAAUCGGCAGACACAAGGGACUUAAAAUCCCUCGGACGAAAAUCCGUACCGGUUCAAGUCCGGUCAGCGGCACCA
rnacentral:tRNA from 1 species